rnacentral:rRNA from 1 species
CCCGCACAAGCGGUGGAGCAUGUGGUUUAAUUCGAUGCAACGCGAAGAACCUUAUCAAGGCUUGACAUACACCGGUAACGCCCAGAGAUGGGUGCCCCUUUGUGGUCGGUGUACAGGUGGUGCAUGGUUGUCGUCAGCUCGUGUCGUGAGAUGUUGGGUUAAGUCCCGCAACGAGCGCAACCCUCGUCCUAUGUUGCCAGCGGGUCAUGCCGGGGACUCAUGGGAGACUGCCGGGGUCAACUCGGAGGAAGGUGGGAUGACGUCAAAUCAUCAUGCCCCUUAUGUCUUGGGCUUCACGCAUGCUACAAUGGCCGGUACAAAGGGCUGCGAUACCGCGAGGUGGAGCGAAUCCCAGAAAGCCGGUCUCAGUUCGGAUUGGGGUCUGCAACUCGACCCCAUGAAGUCGGAGUCGCUAGUAAUCGCAGAUCAGCAUGCUGCGGUGAAUACGUUCCCGGGCCUU